rnacentral:rRNA from 1 species
GACGCACGCUGGCGGCGUGCUCUAAUACAUGCAAGUGGGACGACAAGAGAACACACUGUGCUUGCACACCGUGUUUUCUUGAGUUGCGAACGGGUGAGUCACGCGUAGGUAACGUGCCUGGUAGCGGGGGAUAACUAUUGGAAACGAUAGCUAAUACCGCAUAAUAGCAGUUAUUGCAUGAUAACUGUUUGAAAGGUGCAAUUGCACCACUACCAGAUGGACGUGUGUUGUAUUAGCUAGUUGGUGGGGUAACGGCUCACCACGGCGACGAUACAUAGCGGACAUGAGAGGGUGAUCGGCCACACUGGGACUGAGACACGGCCCAGACUCGUACGGGAGGCAGCAGUAGGGUAUCUUCGGCAAUGGACGGAAGUCUGACCGAGCAACGCCGCGUGAGUGAAGAAGGUUUUCGGAUCGUAAAGCUCUGUUGUAAGAGAAGAACGAGUGUGAGAGUGGAAAGUUCACACUGUGACGGUAUCUUACCAGAAAGGGACGGCUAACUACGUGCCAGCAGCCGCGGUAAUACGUAGGUCCCGAGCGUAGUCCGGAUUUAUUGGGCGUAAAGCGAGCGCAGGCGGUUAGAUAAGUCUGAAGUUAAAGGCUGUGGCUUAACCAUAGUACGCUUUGGAAACUGUUUAACUUGAGUGCAAGAGGGGAGAGUGGAAUAUCCAUGUGUAGCGGUGAAAUGCGUAGAUAUAUGGAGGAGCACCGGUGGCGAAAGCGGCUCUCUGGCUUGUAACUGACGCUGAGGCUCGAAAGCGUGGGGAGCAAACAGAGAUUAGAUACCCUGGUAGUCCACGCCGUAAACGAUGAGUGCUAGGUGUCAGACCCUUUCCGGGGUUUAGUGCCGCAGCUAACGCAUUAAGCACUCCGCCUGGGGAGUACGACCGCAAGGUGGAAACUCAAAGGAAUAGACGGUGGCACGCACAUGCGGUGGAGCAUGUGGUUUAAUUCUAAGCAACACGAAGAACCUUACCAUG